rnacentral:lncRNA from 1 species
AAAGUCUUAGUGACCGGCAAAGACGAUCAUCCGGUUGUUUUUUAGUAUUCUACCAUUUUUUUUAUUUUUUAAAUUAAAUAUAAUAGCCAUGACCCGACCCGAUCCAAUAUCCAUAUCCACAAAUUAAAAUAUCCCCCAAAUUCGAUACUUCUCAGUUGUUUCUCAAGCGUUUUUUAAGGCUCUCAAGCAAGGAUCAGCAAAAUACAUACUACUAUCUCAAUUCUCUUCCCAAGCAACAGUGUGUCAAGGAUCUCAAUCAGCAGUCUUUCAGGGCUCUCAAGCCAAAAAGAUGGCUUCUUCUCCAUCUCAUAGAAGUACUUUAAGG